CUGCCGCGUUUAAUUUAUUCCAGCGAUGAUACAAGACACCUAAAUAAGACAUUUCUGAUUUAGUAUAUUAUUCACACCCUGUAUAUAAAUGGUAUGUUACAUGCCAAAUAGACAUACUUUCUCAAUGUUAGUAAAUUUAAUAAACUUGAUGUCUUUCUUAA